rnacentral:lncRNA from 1 species
GCAGAUCCCCUGCCUGCAGCACGUGCUGAUCUCCAAGGGUGAGGCUGGAUGAAGCCAGGGGCUAUGGAAAGGGAGACUGUUUCAGAGGACUUGACACCAUCUUCAGUAAUUUCUCUGGUUCUUGGCAGCUCCAUUUGGCUGCGUCCCUACCCUGCAUAACCCUCCCAGCUAGUCUACUCCAGGGCAGCAUCCAGCUGGUGACCUGAGAGGGCAGUGGCGCACCAGUCUCCAUGAAGGUUGAGCUCCGAUGGCCAACAGCCAUUUCCACCUUGUGGUCUACAACUCUUCAUCCCGACUGCAUGGAGGUUGGUCUCUCUCUUCAGCUGGAUUUAGGCCACCAUCUGAGCCCCCGGGGUACGUUUUGUCUGACCCUGGCGCCAUUCGAACGGUUCUUCUACAGCAUCAGUUCUCUUUCCUGCCACCAUGUGAAGAAGGACAUGUUUGCUUCCCCUUCUGCCAUGAAUGUGACACCCCUGCUCCCCAUUCACCCUCCGCUAUCAGUAAAAGCUUCCUCAGACCUCACCAGAAGCUGGACAGAUAGAUGCUGGUGCCAAGCUUGUACAGACUGCAGAACCAUGGGCCAAAUAAACCUCUUUUCUUUAUAAAUU